UGAUGAUUUCCAUUCCUUAGGACAAUAAGCUUUAUGAAUCAGCUGUGAAAAAUGUAUACGUAGACUAAAUCUACAAUAUUGCUUUUUCACAUAGAAUUCAGGAAAAUUCAGGUAUAGUCUUGCGAGAAGUAAACUGUUCACAUACAUUUUCUUUUCUCAUGAAAUUCGUGAGAAGUUUGUUUUCAUGUAUCAUUUACUCAUUUGUGACUUUGGUGCCAUAGCAAG
rnacentral:misc_RNA from 1 species